AAGAUUACUAAAAAGAACUUCUAAUUCUUUAAUAAUGUUUACAUUUAAUCUUU
rnacentral:tRNA from 1 species